rnacentral:misc_RNA from 1 species
AGUGCUUCCAUUCCUUGUGACAAAGCAUCUUCAGCCUGUUGGGAUGAUUGUUGCAAAUUGUAGAUGCCCAUCAACUGUUGCUCUGUUAAAGGCUCCAAUUGAUUCACAAGAAGCUUCAGUGUCUCAGACGAGCGGAACCCACCUAUCCACAUGAAACACCGCUCUGCUGGUGUCUUCCACAUUCCUGACAAGAUGUGGAAAACAUCAGCUUUUGCUGCAACACCCUUCAGCCUGAAAAUGUCAUUGAAGUGUGCUAUGACAUUGUCAACUAUAGUUCGA